rnacentral:misc_RNA from 1 species
UGGGCUUGACAUGUGGGGAAAAGCACUAUCUCUAGUGCUUUUCCCCACAUGUCAAGCCCAGGUAAGGUUCUUCGCGUAGCAUCGAAUUAAGCAACACGCUCCGCUGCUUGUGCGGGCCCCCGUCAAUUCCUUUGAGUUUUAGCCUUGCGGCCGUAGUCCCCAGGCGGAGUACUUAUCGCGUUAGCUGCGGCACCGAGGGGGUCGAUACCCCCGACACCUAGUACUCAUCGUUUACAGCGUGGACUAC